rnacentral:rRNA from 1 species
GGUUAAGCGACUAAGCGUACACGGUGGAUGCCCUGGCAGUCAGAGGCGAUGAAGGACGUGCUAAUCUGCGAUAAGCGUCGGUGAGGUGAUAUGAACCGUUAUAACCGGCGAUUUCCGAAUGGGGAAACCCAGUGUGUUUCGACACACUAUCAUUAACUGAAUCCAUAGGUUAAUGAGGCGAACCGGGGGAACUGAAACAUCUAAGUACCCCGAGGAAAAGAAAUCAACCGAGAUUCCCCCAGUAGCGGCGAGCGAACGGGGAGGAGCCCAGAGCCUGAAUCAGUGUGUGUGUUAGUGGAAGCGUCUGGAAAGGCGCGCGAUACAGGGUGACAGCCCCGUACACAAAAAUGCACAUAUUGUGAGCUCGAUGAGUAGGGCGGGACACGUGGUAUCCUGUCUGAAUAUGGGGGGACCAUCCUCCAAGGCUAAAUACUCCUGACUGACCGAUAGUGAACCAGUACCGUGAGGGAAAGGCGAAAAGAACCCCGGCGAGGGGAGUGAAAAAGAACCUGAAACCGUGUACGUACAAGCAGUGGGAGCCUCUUAAUGGGGUGACUGCGUACCUUUUGUAUAAUGGGUCAGCGACUUAUAUUCUGUAGCAAGGUUAACCGAAUAGGGGAGCCGAAGGGAAACCGAGUCUUAACUGGGCGUUAAGUUGCAGGGUAUAGACCCGAAACCCGGUGAUCUAGCCAUGGGCAGGUUGAAGGUUGGGUAACACUAACUGGAGGACCGAACCGACUAAUGUUGAAAAAUUAGCGGAUGACUUGUGGCUGGGGGUGAAAGGCCAAUCAAACCGGGAGAUAGCUGGUUCUCCCCGAAAGCUAUUUAGGUAGCGCCUCGUGAAUUCAUCUCCGGGGGUAGAGCACUGUUUCGGCAAGGGGGUCAUCCCGACUUACCAACCCGAUGCAAACUGCGAAUACCGGAGAAUGUUAUCACGGGAGACACACGGCGGGUGCUAACGUCCGUCGUGAAGAGGGAAACAACCCAGACCGCCAGCUAAGGUCCCAAAGUCAUGGUUAAGUGGGAAACGAUGUGGGAAGGCCCAGACAGCCAGGAUGUUGGCUUAGAAGCAGCCAUCAUUUAAAGAAAGCGUAAUAGCUCACUGGUCGAGUCGGCCUGCGCGGAAGAUGUAACGGGGCUAAACCAUGCACCGAAGCUGCGGCAGCGAC